GCGUCUGUAGCCUAGUUGGUAAAGGCAGCACUAGUAUGUGUCUCGGCAUAGCUGAGGUCGUGAGUUCGACUCUCACCAGACACA
rnacentral:tRNA from 1 species